rnacentral:misc_RNA from 1 species
GCCUUUCUCUCUACUUCUGGAGAAACACGUGUUUUUAUCAAAGAAAAAUAAGCUGAAAGAGAGCGACAUGUUAGCAGAGAUUUCAUGGUUCCCGAGUUAAGACUUCUGUAUACUGUUCUGAUUCAUUUCUAAACAGACAUUGCAUGGGGCCAGAGAUCUAGCUGAUCGACCAAAAUAAACUAACAAUUUUCAUUUCAUUGUUAAUUAUAAUUAAUAAAAUUGUAUGUUUAAUGAAAAUUUC